rnacentral:tRNA from 1 species
CAGCGUGUAGGGGAGCCUGGCCGUCCCUACCUGCCUUGGAAGCAGGGGAUCGGUGGUUCGAAUCCACCCACGCUGACCA